CAGCUGGCAGCAUUUCAGACCUGGCUCUUCAUCGUCUCAUCCGCGUUGGUUGGUUUUUUUCCUCCAUGUGUCCCAGGAUCAUUAACCACUGGUUGGCCUUCCUGUCUGUGUGAGUGCCAGCAUCCUCCCAGCCAACAGCCACGCCUGCCAGCCAGUUGACAAAUAUCAAUUUCAUAUUGUACUCACAAGAUGAGACAAAAAAAGACAGGGGUUUUUGAUGGACAAAGAAAAUACUCUGGCUUGAUGGCUACAUUAAAAGUCUUGAACAAGUCCUCAUGUUCCGAACACAAGAACCACAAAAAGACUCUGCAGGAAUCUGCACUGUUGAAGGGACGAGACAAAGUUCAUCACAUGUCGGAAAUUGCUGAAGUAAUGACAAAAACCAUCACUGCCUCGCCAUUUUGAAGGCAACCACAUGUUGUGUUGAAAAUGUCAUAUAUAUAAAUGAAUGAAUGAAACACUGCA